UUGCAGCCCGACUUGAACGGAGCUCUUUUUGUGGAGCAAAGCGGAACAAAAAAGCGGGAGUGGAAGGUGGAUUAAGC
rnacentral:misc_RNA from 1 species